GAUGAACGCUAGCGGGAUGCCUAACACAUGCAAGCCGAGCGGUAGAGUUUCUUCGGAAACUUGAGAGCGGCGCACGGGUGCGUAACACGUGUGCAACCUACCUUUAUCUGGGGGAUAGCCUUUCGAAAGGAAGAUUAAUACCCCAUAAUAUAAUGAUUGUCAUCAAGUAUUAUUGAAAACUCCGGUGGAUAGAGAUGGGCACGCGCAAGAUUAGAUAGUUGGUGAGGUAACGGCUCACCAAGUCAAUGAACUUUAGGGGUCCUGAGAGGGAGAUCCCUCACACUGGUACUGCGACACGGACCAGACUCCUACGGGAGGCAGCAGUGAGGAAUAUUGGACAAGGAGUGAGAGCCUGAUCCAGCCAUCCCGCGUGAAGGAUGACGGUCCUAGGGAUUGUAAGCUUCUUUUGUACAGGGAUAAACCUACCACCGUGAGGGUAGCUGAAGGUACUGUACGAAUAAGCACCGGCUAACUCCGUG
rnacentral:rRNA from 1 species